rnacentral:rRNA from 1 species
UACGUAGGGGGCAAGCGUUAUCCGGAUUUACUGGGUGUAAGGGAGCGUAGACGGCAGCACAAGUCUGGAGUGAAAUCCCGGGGCUUAACCCCGGAACUGCUUUGGGAACUGUGCGGCUGGAGUGCAGGAGGGGUAAGCGGAAUUCCUAGUGUAGCGGUGAAAUGCGUAGAUAUUAGGAGGAACACCAGUGGCGAAGGCGGCCUGCUGGACUGUAACUGACGUUGAGGCUCGAAAGCGUGGGGAGCAAACAG